GCGGAGGAGUAUAGAGCUAAGGCCGACGUGGAGCCCGACUUCUGGUACUUUUUAUAGAGCCGAGAUUUAUUAUUUGUUAAGUAUGACAAAUACUUGGAGAACCAGAGAGGCUUGGACGAUACAGGUACAGUGAUAUCUGGAACAAAAGUAUUAAAAUUAGUUUACAGUUGCAGAUAGAAGAAGAAGUGUUUGGCGUAAGCCUUCAUGGAGCUGCCAUUGGCACAGAUCUUGGUGGUAGUAGCAAAUAAUCGAAUGAGACCUUGGAGGACUGAAGUGGAGAAGGGUUUCGUGUGAACAGUGGUUGAUCACGAGUUAGUCGGUCCUAAGUUCAAGGCGAAAGCCGAAAAUUUUCAAGUAAAAAACGAGGGGGAACGUUGUGAGUUGCUGCGGACACCGCAACUCUACAGUUAUACCCGAUACUAAGUCAGUAUGGCUCUCCUCAGGCAGACGCCGCUAAUAUUAAGCGACACGACAAAGAGUGCGUGCGAGAGAGACAGAAAAUCAGUCUGAGCGUGACGUCGGGCGCUGCGUAGCCACUGCAAAUUGAUUUGUUCCUUUUGGCUAUAAAAAUGAUCUGAUCUGAUCCAGAUUCAGCAAUCUGAUAGAUAUGGUCGUUAUCUAUGAUUCUGCAUUUUUAGUUUUCUCGAAUCUGCAAUAUUGUGGAUGCAACAGAUUUUCGUCCUUUGUGUGGGCGGAAGGGGGUGGGGCGAAAUUUUGAGAACAAGGUUUUAUAGUGAGAUCUGACUGAAGUGCGGAUACCAAAUUUGGAUACUCCCGCUUCAAUAGCCUCAGAGAAUUGCGAAUAUCCCCGGAUGUGCUUCCCUUGCGGGGCGAAUUUUUAAAAACAAACUCGUCUCGGUCCGAUAUAUUAGGAGUGUGCUGACCACAUUUGGUGGCACUAGCUUUUAUAGUCUCUGAGAUCUAUUGCGCUAAUGUUUUCCCCGACGCAAAGCCAGCUUAUGCUACCUGUGUGUGAGAGAGAGACAGAGAUAGAAAACAUAAAAAUGUGUUCAUGA
rnacentral:ncRNA from 1 species